GAUGAACGCUGGCGGCGUGCCUAAUACAUGCAAGUCGAGCGAACAGAUGAGGAGCUUGCUCCUCUGACGGUAGCGGCGGACGGGUGAGUAACACGUGGAUAACCUACCUAUAAGACUGGGAUAACUUCGGGAAACCGGAGCUAAUACCGGAUAAUAUAUUGAACCGCAUGGUUCAAGAGUGAAAGACGGUUUGGCCGUCACUUAGAGAUGGAUCCGCGCCGCAUUAGCUAGUUGGUAAGGUAACGGCUUACCAAGGCAACGAUGCGUAGCCGACCUGAGAGGGUGAUCGGCCACACUGGAACUGAGACACGGUCCAGACUCCUACGGGAGGCAGCAGUAGGGAAUCUUCCGCAAAGGGCGCAAGCCUGACGGAGCCACGCCGCGUGAGUGAUGAAGGUCUUCGGAUCGUAAAACUCUGUUAUUAGGGAAGAACAAAUGUGUAAGUAACUAUGCACGUCUUGACGGUACCUAAUCAGAAAGCCACGGCUAACUACGUG
rnacentral:rRNA from 1 species